rnacentral:rRNA from 1 species
AUGGUCGGCGCAACCAUGGCCACCGCCACCGUCACGGCCGCGUCGCCGCUCCGCGGCAGGGUCACCGGGCGUCCACGCCGCGUCCGCCCGCGUUGCGCGGCCGCGAGCGGCGCGACCGAGACUCCCGCGGCGCCCGGUGUGCGGCUGUCCGCGGACUGCGUCAUUGUGGGCGCCGGCAUCAGCGGCCUCUGCACCGCGCAGGCGCUGGCCACCCGAUACGGCGUCGGCGACCUGCUCAUCACGGAGGCCCGCGACCGCCCGGGCGGCAACAUCACCACCGUCGAGCGCCCCGACGAGGGGUACCUGUGGGAGGAGGGGCCCAACAGCUUCCAGCCCUCCGACCCGGUGCUCACCAUGGCCGUGGACAGCGGGCUCAAGGAUGACUUGGUGUUCGGGGACCCCAACGCGCCCCGGUUCGUGCUGUGGGAGGGGAAGCUGAGGCCGGUGCCGUCCAAGCCAGGCGACCUGCCUUUCUUCAGCCUCAUGAGCAUUCCCGGGAAGCUCAGGGCCGGCCUUGGCGCCCUCGGCAUUCGCCCACCUCCUCCAGGGCGCGAGGAGUCGGUGGAGGAGUUUGUGCGCCGCAACCUCGGCGCCGAGGUCUUUGAGCGCCUCAUCGAGCCUUUCUGCUCAGGUGUAUAUGCUGGUGAUCCUUCGAAGCUCAGUAUGAAGGCUGCAUUUGGGAAGGUCUGGAGGUUGGAGGAGAUUGGAGGUAGUAUUAUUGGUGGAACCAUCAAGGCAAUUCAGGAUAAAGGGAAGAACCCCAAACCGCCAAGGGAUCCCCGACUUCCGGCACCAAAGGGACAGACGGUGGCAUCUUUCAGGAAGGGUCUAGCCAUGCUCCCGAAUGCUAUCGCAUCUAGGUUGGGUAGUAAAGUCAAGCUGUCAUGGAAGCUUACGAGCAUUACAAAGGCGGACAACCAAGGAUAUGUAUUAGGUUAUGAAACACCAGAGGGACUUGUUUCAGUGCAGGCUAAAAGUGUUAUCAUGACCAUCCCGUCAUAUGUUGCUAGUGAUAUCUUGCGCCCACUUUCAAUUGAUGCAGCAGAUGCACUCUCAAAAUUCUAUUAUCCGCCAGUUGCUGCUGUAACUGUUUCAUAUCCAAAAGAAGCUAUUAGAAAAGAAUGCUUAAUUGAUGGGGAGCUCCAGGGUUUCGGCCAGUUGCAUCCACGUAGCCAAGGAGUCGAGACUUUAGGGACAAUAUAUAGCUCUUCUCUCUUUCCUAAUCGUGCUCCUGCUGGAAGAGUGUUACUUCUGAACUAUAUCGGGGGUUCUACAAAUACAGGGAUCGUCUCCAAGACUGAGAGCGAUUUAGUAGAAGCCGUGGAUAGUGACCUCAGAAAAAUGUUGAUAAAUCCUAGAGCAGCAGACCCUUUAGCAUUAGGGGUUCGAGUGUGGCCACAAGCAAUACCACAGUUUUUGAUUGGGCACCUUGAUCGCCUUGCUGCUGCAAAAUCUGCACUGGGCCGAGGCGGCUAUGACGGGUUGUUCCUAGGAGGAAACUACGUCGCAGGAGUUGCCUUGGGCCGAUGCAUCGAGGGUGCGUACGAGAGUGCCUCACAAGUAUCUGACUUCUUGACCAAGUAUGCCUACAAGUGA